UUUUCACCAACAACGGCUGGUGGGCUGAGGCCAAAUGUAAUGACAGUCAACUUCAACAAUGCAUCGAGAACACAAAGUGUGGAGAAACUCCUGUGAUUCCAAAUGGGAAAGUGGUACUUCCACAAAGGCCAGGCCUAAGGCAAAUCCAUGCUAGGAUUACUUGUAACACAGGAUACAGCCCUAACGUUAACUACUUAAGUUGUCACGAGGGAGAAUGGACGUCAAAUAAAAUAUCACCCAACGAUAUUUGUACACCAACUGCCAAGCUCUGCAAACCCCCACCUAAAGUUGAGUAUGCAGUUGUUCGGACAUCUUAUCAGAUGGAAUACUUGUCUGACUCUCCAGUGACUUAUCAGUGCCGUGAUCACUAUCAUAUGGAGGGAGAACACACGAUUCUAUGCAAUGAUGGGGAAUGGGAGGAGAAGAACGUAACAUGCACAC